AAAAUAUCAUUAACGUUAUACGGGCCUAUCACCCUCUAUGGGUAAAUGGCCUCAUUUAAGAAGGACUUAAAUCGUUAAUUUCUCAUACUAGAAUAUUGAUGUUCCAUNCACUGCAUCUCACAUUUGCCAUAUAGACAAAG
rnacentral:rRNA from 1 species